rnacentral:misc_RNA from 1 species
GUGAAUCAUCAAAUUUUUGAACGCAAAUUGCGCUUCUUAGCAUCACGGGUAGAAUGCCUGUUUGAGGGUCAGUAUUAAUAAAAAAUCGGUCUAGUUACAAAUUGUGACGUUUCAGGAGCUUGAGGUAUCUUAACCUUUUUGGUUAAGAGGCUUAAAAUUGACCUUUUUUGCGCAUUUUUAAACGAAAAAAAAUUUUUUUUAUUAGUCUAUUCUUAGUGCCAACAUCUUAUUAGAUGCGAUCACAUC